CACGUAGUUAGCCGUGACUUUCUAGUUGGAUACCGUCACUGCGUGAACAGUUACUCUCACGCACGUUCUUCUCCAACAACAGAGCUUUACGAGCCGAAACCCUUCUUCACUCACGCGGUGUUGCUCCGUCAGGCUUGCGCCCAUUGUGGAAGAUUCCCUACUGCUGCCUCCCGUAGGAGUAUGGACCGUGUCUCAGUUCCAUUGUGGCCGAUCAGUCUCUCAACUCGGCUAUGCAUCAUCGCCUUGGUAAGCCGUUACCUUACCAACUAGCUAAUGCACCGCGGGCCCAUCCUGAAGUGAUAGCCGAAACCAUCUUUAGAAACGAAAACCAUGUGGUUUUCGUUGUUAUGCGGUAUUAGCACCUGUUUCCAGUAUGUUACUCCCCCACUUCAGGGCAGGUUCGCCCAGUUCGUUACUCACCCGUCCGCCGCUCACGUGGGACUCCACGUCAAUUCAGUGACAGCACGUCAGUAUCGAGUUGGCCAGUCGCGCUCGACUUGAC
rnacentral:rRNA from 1 species